CGGAGGGGCGCCGAGGCGCCGGCGGCGGGGAAGGGGGGGAAGGACGGGGGGAGGGGAGAGGGGGGGAGGGGGCGGGUGGGGAGAGAAGCAGCAGAGUCACUUCACCGACCAGACGCCGCGGCCACCGCCGACGCCGCCGCCAUUUUAACAGAGCGCUCGGGCUGCGCUCGGCUCUUUCCGCCCGGGCUUAGGAGCGGACGAGAGGCGCCUCGCGCUCUCAUUCCUCCGCCUCCCUCCCUUUCUCGCCUCUCCUCCGCCCCCCACCUCUCCCUCCGCACACACGCCGCACGCUCCACACCCCGCCGUGGCCGGCUCGCCGCCCUCCCUUUCCUCUUCCGUCCGGCCUCCCCGCCCUCGGUCCACCCCCUCCGCGCGCUCGCCCACCCCGCCCAGCCCGGAUCUCUGUCAGCGGCCGGAAGGGAAACGCGAAGCCAGCGCGGCCGCGGGGGGAGUCCGGUUCCUUGAAGGUCCUCCGUCCUGGAGCAGUAAGAUCCUUGACGUAACUAGAAAUGGCAGGGUAAGGAGUGUUUGCCUGACAUCGUCUCGUUUUUACGGAAGAGGGCCCCUCACGAUGUGCCCAUCAGCCCCACCUGAAAUAGCAAGAAAUCUUCUUCAGCAGAGAGCGAAUAACAAGGAUAUUAAGAUAAAGAACAGGUGAAGGGGGCAGUCAGCUGAAGCUUGUAAGGGAAUUUUCCUCACGCCGGCACUUACCCCUUGCUUGCUAAUUUUUGUGUUCAACGUGUUUACAUAGACAUGUGACUGCAAAGUCCGAAAGAUCGUGUACAGAAUCUCUGAACGGUAACCAGAGUGUCUGUCAAGGCUCUGUAGUCAUUCUCUCGAUAGCUUUUGUGGAGGUUAUGGCACGCCCAUCUCUCCAUGCCAGAACCACCUGGUUCCAAAUGCUUUGCCUUUCUGCUGCUUGAAGUUGAUACUAUAAACAGUCUGCCCAACCCGUUUUGUUUCCCACUAGCAGGUGAUCCUUAGGAUUGUAGUUCUAUUCUACCAUCAUCUUCCCUUCUUCCUUGUCUUUCUCACAGAAUUGGGUUUUUGCAGACUUACUUUGGAUCCUGAGGCAGACAUUCGUUGUCCACUCAACAUACAUUCCCACGUAUCCCUUUUUUCCCUGCCAACACAACCCCAAUUAUUUUUAUUUGAAUUUUUUUUUUUUGAGACAAAGUCUCACUCUGUCGCCAAGGUUAGAGUGCAGUGGUGCGAUCACAGUUCACUACAGCCUCCACUUUAUGGGCUCAAGGGAUCCUCCCACUUCCCUAGUAGCUGGGGCUACAGGCGCUCUCCACCACACGUAACUAAUUGUUUUUUAUUUUUAGUAGGGACAGGGUCUUGCUAUGUUACCCAGGCUGGUCUCAAACUCCUGGCCUCAACUGAUCCUCCGGCCCAAAAUGUUAGGAUUACAGGUAUGAGCCAACGUGCUGGUCUCACGUUUUUUCAGGUAGCAGUUGAAACCAACCAUCAUGGUGAUCUGGCUUUUCUAGGGCUGGCCAUACAUAAUUGAGUUCCUCCUGAUAAAAGGUAAGCAACAAUCCUGAGAAACAUGGACAAAGCUCAUCUCUGCUAAAAAUACAAAAUUAGGCAUGGUGGUGCAUGCCUGUAAUCCCAGCUACUCAGGAGGCUGAGGCAGGAGAAUCGCUUGAACCCGGGAGGCAGGGGUUGCGGUGAGCCGAGAUCGCGCCAUUGCACUCCAGCCUGGGAUAAGAGUGAAACUCCGUCUCAUAAAAAAAAAAAAAAAAAAAGGCCAGGCAUGGUGGUUCAUGCCUGUAAUCCCAGCGCUUUGGGAGGCCGAGGCGAGAAGAUCACUAAAUCAGGAGAUUGAGACCAUCCUGGCUAACACGGUGAAACCCCGUCUCUACUAAAAAUACAAAAAAUUAGCCAGGCAUGGUGGUGGGCGCCUGUAGUCCCAGCUACUUGGGAGGCUGAGGCAGGAGAAUGGCAUGAACCCAGGGAGCAAAGCUUGCAGUGAGCUGAGAUCGCGCCACUGCACUCCAGCCUGGGCGACACAGCAAGACUCCGUCUCAAAAAAAAAAAAAAAAAAUUACCUGGUCGUGGUGGCUCACGACUAUAAUCAUAGUACUUUGAGAGUCCAAGGCAGAUGGAUUGCUUGAGCCUGGGAGUUCUACAUCAACCUGGGCAACAUGGCAAAAGUCCAUCUCCAGUACAUAAGAAAAUUAGUGGAAUGUGGUGGUGCACACCUGUAAUCCCAGCUACUGGGGAGGCUGAGGUGGGAGGAUCACUAGAGCCCAGGAGAUUGAGACUGCAGUGAGCUGUGGUCAUACCACUGCAGUCUAGCCUGGGUGACAGAGUGAGACCCUCUCUGGAAAAAAAAAGAAAUGUAAGCAGAAAUCUGCAGGAUGGGUUCUUUGGGAAGAAUUCCCAAAAGAAUUCCUAAUACGAUGAGGGACAAAUUCAGCUAACAUACCAUUUAACCCUUUCUGCCUGAAACAUGGUCUUGAUGCACAAAGUAAUACCCAUCUUGUAAUUUUUUUAACAAUGAAAACUUUUACCCCAUUUGCGAUUUCAUUGUUUAAAAAAUUUGAUUAAACAGGCCGGGCACAGUGGCUCACGCCUGUAAUCCCAACACUUUGGGAGGCUGAGGCAGGUGGAUCACCUGAGGUCAGAGUUCAAGACCAGCCUUACCUACAUGCUGAAACCCCAUCUCUUCUAAAAAUAUAAAAAAUGAGCCGGGUGUGGUGGCGGGCACUUUGUAAUCCCAGCUACUCGGGAGGCUGAGGCUGGAGAAUUGCUUGAACCCGGGGGUGGAGGUUGCAGUGAGCCGAGAUUCUGCCAUUGCACUCCAGCCUGGGCAACAAGAGCAAAAAAAAUUCCAUCUCGAAAAAAAAUGAUAAAACAGAAUCAUAAAGUGUGGAUCCCUGAUGCAUCUUUGAACAACAGUCUAUGCUCAGACUGCUUAUGUGAGAAAAAUAAAAUGUAUUUUUCUUGGCUGGGCAUGGUGGCCUACACCUGUAUUCCCAGAACUUUGAGAGGCUAAGGAGGGCAGAUCACUUGAGGACAGGAGUUAGAGACCGGCCUGGCCAACGUAAUGAAACCCAUCUCUACUAAAAAUACAAAAAUUAGGCUGGGCGCAAUGGCUCACGCCUGUACUCCCAGCACUUUGGGAGGGGGAGGUGGGCAGAACACAAGGUCAGGAGUUCAAGACCAGCCUGGCCAACGUAGUGAAGCCUCGUCUCUACUAAAAAUACAAAAAUUAGCCGGGUUUGAUGGCGCAUGCCUAUAGUCCCAACUACUUGGGAGGCUGAGGCAAGAGAAUUGCUUGAACCCAGGAGGCAGAAGUUGCAGUGAGCCAAGAUCGCACCAGUGCACUCCAGCCUCGGCGACAGAGCAAGACUCCGUCUCAAAAAAAAAAAAAAGCCGGUUGUGGUGGAGGGCACCUGUAAUCCCAGCCACUCAGAAGGCUGAGGCAGGAGAAUCCCUUGAACCCGGGAGGCAGAGGUUGCAGUGAGCUGCAGUUGCCACUGCACUCCAGCCUGGAUGACAGAGCAAGACUCCUCAAAAAAGUUCUUUUUCUUUAAGCCAUUCUUCAGAUUUUCGUUACUUGUAACCAAACACAUUUCUAACUACUGAUUACAGAUACUCUUUUUUUUUUUUUUUUUUUUUUUUGAGUCUCGCUUUUUUUGCCCAGGCUGGAGUGCAGUGGAGUGAUCUCCGCUCACUGCCAGCUCCGCCUCCCGGGUUCAGGCCAUUCUCCUGCCUCAGCCUCCUGAGUAGCUGGGACUACAGGUGCCACCACCACACCUGUCUACUUUUUUGUAUUUUUAGUAGAGAUGGGGUUUCUCCAUGUUGGUCAGGCUGGUCUCGAACUCCCACCCUCAGGUGAUCCGCCCGCCUCGGCCUCCUAAAGUGCUGUGAUUACAGGCGUGAGCCACCGCGCCCGGCCAAGUGUGUAUAACUGUUGAUCAACAUUUUGAAGACCAGUUAUGACAGUUAAAUUAUUUGCCACAACUCAAAUGAACAGCAGAGCACUUUAUCACAAACUAACAUUCACCCUGGAAUGUACUGUACAGUCAACCUAUUCUGUCUCCUUCCAUCUCUCCAUUCCUAUGCCUUUCAUCUUUUUAUUUUAUUUUAAUUUUUUUUUGAGAUGGAGUCUUGCUCUGCUGCCCAGGGUGGAGUGCAGUGGCGCAAUCUCGGCUCACUGCAAGCUCUGCCUCCUGGGUUCAAGCGAUUCACCUGCCUCAGCCUCCUAAAUAGCUGGGAUUACAGAUGUGUGCCAUCACAUUGGGCUAAUAUUUAUAUUUUUAGUAGAGACAGGGAUCUUACUAUGUUGCCCAGGCUGUUCUUGAACUCGGUCUCAAGUGAUCCACCCACCUCAGCCUCCCAAAGUGAUGGGAUUACAGGUAUGAGCCACCAGCCCUGGCCUAAAUUUAAAAAAAAGGGUAUUCCUAUGUUGCCCAGACUGGUCUCGAACUCCUGAGCUCCAGCAAUCCUCCCACCUGCCAAAGUGCUAGGAUUACAGUUGAGCCACUGCACCCCACAGAGAUCUCACUGUGUUGCCCAGGCUGCAGUGCAGUGACAAUUCAUAGGCCCAGCAUGCUUUGAACGGCAUGCUUUGAGGUGAUCCUCCUGCCUCAGCCUCCCAAGUAGCUGGGACUACAGGCAUAUUCCACCACUUUCCUGGCUCAAGGAAUCCUCCUGCCUCAGCCUCCUGGGUAGCUGGGAGGACAAGUGUGUGUCACCACACCUGGACAACUGGGGGUGUAUUUGUAUCUUAUGGGAUGGAUAUUUGGUGAUUUGUUAUGAGCAAAUUGAUACCCUUCUGUUUGUGGAGAUUCUCUUGAAUCCUUUUUUCCAUACACUCCAUUUUCUUCUGUUUGGAACUCAUGUUUACUUAUGGAGUGGUCCUCAAAUUUUUAAAAGUUUAUAUUUUGCAUCUUUUUCUCUUUUCCCUCUAUUUUUGGGAGAUUUAAAUUUCUUUUUUUUUCUUUUUGAGGAGUCUCGCUGUCGCCCAGGCUGGAGUGCAGUGGCGCCGUCUCAGCUCACUGCAAGCUCCGCCUCCCGGGUUCACGCCAUUCUCCUGCGUCAGCCUCCCAAGUAGCUGGGACUACAGGUGCCCACCACCAUGCCCGGCUAAUUUCUUUGUAUUUUUAGUAGAGACAGGGUUUCACAGUGUUAGCCAGGAUGGUCUCCAUCUCCUGACCUCGUGAUCCGCCCGCCUUGGCCUCCCAAAGCGCUGGGAUUACACACGUGAGCCACCGCACCUGCCUCUGCAACUCAUUUUUUAUUUCUGCUAUUCUCUAAUUUCCAAAAUUCUGUUCUCUUGAUAUACCUUUACUGUGGUAUUGUUUUUCUUGGUUGCAGAAAGCUCUCAACUUUUCUAAGGGUACUGGUGAUUGAUAUUUUUGUUUACUUUUGCCUGUGCAGUCUGUUUUCAACUUGCCCGUUUCCAUUUUAAAAUUCAUAUUGAGACUGCCCUUAGAUGUCUGAUAAUCCUUAGUUGUCCAUUUACACACCCAUUAUAUAAAAUGUAUAGGGAAGGCCAGGCACGGUGGCUCACGCCUAUAAUCCCAGCACUUUGGGAGGCUGAGGUGGGUGGAUCACCUGAGGUCAGGAGUUUGAGACCAGCCUGUCUAAACAUGGCAAAACCCCAUCUUUAGUAAAAGCACAAACAGCUGGUUGCGUUGAUGCGUGCCUGCAGCCCCAGCUUCUCUGGAGGCUGAGGCUGGAGAAUCGCUUGAAUCCGGGAGGCGGAGGUAGUAGUGAGCCGAGAUCACGCCACUGCACUCCAGCCUGAGCAACAGAGCAAGAUUCUAUCACCCCCACCCCCCACCCCGCAAAAAAAAAAAUCAAUCUAUAUCUGAGAGAGAGUGUCUCACUCUGGCUGGAGUGCAGUGGCACAAUCUCAGCUCACAGCAACCUCUCCUUCCCAAAUUCAAGAGAUUCUCCUGGCUCAGCCUCCCAAGCAGCUGGAACUACAGGCACGUGCCACCACACUUGGCUAAUUUUUGUAUUUUUUUGUAGAGACAGGGUUUCACUGUGUUGGCCAGGCAGGUCUGGGACUCUUGGCCUCAAGUGAUCCGCCCACCUUGGCCUCCCAAAGGGCAGGGAUUACAGGUGUGAGCUACCAAGCCUGGCUCCACUCACCCUUUUGAGAAGGCUCAUGGCUACUUAGUUUACUUACAUUUUUUAAGAAUACAAUUAGUAUUUGUACCAGGUUACAUCUGUGUUCUCAUUCCAAGGCUAAUGUUUAUUCUUUGUUACAUUUAGAUGCUAAGUAGAGUUAGACAAGAAGUGCCCUCUAAUCCCAAAUAAAGGUAAAAUGAGUCAAAAUGCCACAGGAGGAAUUUGUUUCUUGAGAACAAAAGGUAUCUUAGGAACAUGUUCAUUUUACACAACUGCUGCAUUUACUAGGAACAAUAACCUUAGAAAUCUUGUUUGUAAAUCAAGGGGUCCAACUUCAUUUAAAAUGUUACUUGAUGCUUAAACACAAAUACCCACUAUCAUUAAUAUAGGAAUAAAUGAG
rnacentral:lncRNA from 1 species